rnacentral:ribozyme from 15 species
AAACGAGAAGAAGAAAGAAGAAAGAAAAAAGACACCGUUGCCGGUGGUGCAGUUGACUUUGUUUCUUUCUUUUUCUUAUCUGU